rnacentral:rRNA from 1 species
UACGGGGGGGGCAAGCGUUGUUCGGAAUUACUGGGCGUAAAGGGCUCGUAGGCGGCCAACUAAGUCGGAUGUGAAAUCCCCAGGCUUAACCUGGGAACUGCAUCCGAUACUGGAUGGCUUGAAUCCGGGAGAGGGAUGCAGAAUUCCAGGUGUAGCGGUGAAAUGCGUAGAUAUCUGGAGGAAUACCGGUGGCGAAGGCGGCAUCCUGGACCGGCAUUGACGCCGAUGAGCGAAAGCUAGGGGAGCAAACGGG